AGAGUUUGAUCCUGGCUCAGAGUGAACGCUGGCGGCAGGCCUAAUACAUGCAAGUCGAACGGCAGCACAGCAGAGCUUGCUCUGGUGGGUGGCGAGUGGCGGACGGGUGAGGAAUACGUGGGAAUCUGCCCAGUCGUGGGGAUAACGUAGGGAAACUUACGCUAAUACCGCAUGCGCCCUUCGGGGGGAAAGCCGGGGACCUUCGGGCCUGGCGCGAUUGGAUGAGCCCACGUCGGAUUAGCUAGUUGGCGGGUAAAGGCCCACCAAGGCGACGAUCCGUAGCUGGGUCUGAGAGGAUGAUCAGCCACACUGGAACUGAGACACGGUCCAGACUCCUACGGGAGGCAGCAGUAGGGAAUAUUGGACAAUGGGCGCAAGCCUGAUCCAGCCAUGCCGCGUGAGUGAAGAAGGCCCUCGGGUUGUAAAGCUCUUUUGUCCGGAAAGAAAAGCGCCGGGUUAAUACCCUGGUGUCCUGACGGUACCGGAAGAAUAAGCACCGGCUAACUUCGUG
rnacentral:rRNA from 1 species